rnacentral:rRNA from 1 species
CCUACGGGAGGCAGCAGUGAGGAAUAUUGGUCAAUGGCCGGAAGGCUGAACCAGCCAAGCCGCGUGAAGGACGAAGGUGCCAAGCAUUGUAAACUUCUUUUGUCAAGGGACAAAAUCAGGCUCGAGAGCCUGAUCGAGGGUACCUGACGAAAAAGCAUCGGCUAACUCCGUGCCAGCAGCCGCGGUAAUAGGAGGGAUGCGAGCGUUAUCCGGAUUUAUUGGGUGUAAAGGGUGCGUAGGCGGACUGUUAAGUCAGCGGUAAAAGCACGGGGCUCAACCCCGGAGUGCCGGUGAAACUGGGUGUCUUGAGAUGUCGAGAGGUAUGCGGAAUGCGCAGUGUAGCGGUGAAAUGCUUAGAUAUUACGCAGAACUCCGAUUGCGAAGGCAGCAUACCGGCGGCGAUCUGACGCUGAGGCACGAAAGCGUGGGUAUCGAACAGGAUUAGAUACCCUUGUAGUC